GAUGAAGAACGUAGCAAAAUGCGAUAAGUAAUGUGAAUUGCAGAAUUCAGUGAAUCAUCGAAUCUUUGAACGCACAUUGCGCCCGCCAGUAUUCUGGCGGGCAUGCCUGUUCGAGCGUCAUUUCAACCCUCAAGCACAGCUUGGUGUUGGGACUCGCGUUAAUUCGCGUUCCUCAAAUUGAUUGGCGGUCACGUCGAGCUUCCAUAGCGUAGUAGUAAAACCCUCGUAACUGGUAAUCGUCGCGGCCACGCCGUUAAACCCCAACUUCUGAAUGUUGACCUCGGAUCAGGUAGGAAUACCCGCUGAACUUAAGCAUAUCAAUAAGCGGAGGA
rnacentral:misc_RNA from 1 species